rnacentral:rRNA from 1 species
UACGUAGGGGGCAAGCGUUGUCCGGAAUCAUUGGGCGUAAAGAGCGCGUAGGCGGUCCGGUAAGUCCGCUCUGAAAGUCCGGGGCUCAACCCCGGGAGGCGGGCGGAUACUGUCGGGCUAGAGUCCGGAAGAGGCGAGUGGAAUUCCUGGUGUAGCGGUGAAAUGCGCAGAUAUCAGGAAGAACACCCGUGGCGAAGGCGGCUCUCUGGAACGCAACUGACGCUGAGACGCGAAAGCGUUGGGAGCAAACAGG